AUUGAACGCUGGCGGCAGGCCUAACACAUGCAAGUCGAACGAGUGGCGGACGGGUGAGUAAUGUCUGGGAAACUGCCUGAUGGAGGGGGAUAACUACUGGAAACGGUAGCUAAUACCGCAUACCAUCAGAUGUGCCCAGAUGGGAUUAGCUAGUUGGUGGGGUAACGGCUCACCACGGCGACGAUCCCUAGCUGGUCUGAGAGGGUGACAAGCGAAACUGGAACGGAUACACGGUCCAGACCCCUACGGGAGGCAGCAGUGGGGAAUAUUGCACAAGGGGAGCAAGCCUGAGGCAGAAAUGCCGCGGGUAUGAAGAAGGCCUUCGUGUUGUAAAGUACUUUCAGCCGGGAGGCGUUACCCACAGAAGAAGCACCGGCGAACUCCGUGCGAGCAGCCGCGGUAAUAC
rnacentral:rRNA from 1 species